rnacentral:misc_RNA from 1 species
CCGAGUUCAUGCCCUCACGGGUAGAUCUCCCACCCUAUGUUAUUAUUACCUUUGUUGCUUUGGCGGGCCGUCAGGCUUGUGCGCCUGGAUUCGCGUCCAGCGUGCCCGCCAGAGGACCCCUAAACUCUGAAUGUUAGUGUCGUCUGAGUACUAUUAAAUAGUUA